rnacentral:lncRNA from 1 species
AGCUCGGGGUUGCCUUUAAGGCUGAAGCAGUGGGGUAGGGAAAGCGUCUCCCCCCGGGGACCCGUUGCAGUAAUGUUCCCAAACACUUCAUCUUGUGUACAGUGCGUACUACAAGUGUUCCUACAGCGCUCAGGGCUGUUUUUGCAGCGCUGUUUAUAUAAGAGCUCGCGCACGGUGCCUACAUGCUUCUGGCACUUCCAACCCCAGGGUCGGUGGUGAAGGCUGCAGGCACCUGAGAGGGGAGCCACAGGGACCUGC